UAGAAACACAGAUCAUCACACACUGUGUCACAAUCUCAUGGCGGUGGGGCUGGCCGGGCUGUAUGACGUGUGCUCUGGACCCAUUUUUACAAAGCUUGAAGGCCAGGCUGGAAGGCCGGAACUGACUCUAAGUAUCCAAGGCCCAGCCAUGUUAUAUAAAGGAACUCAGCACCAACAUCAUCAAAUUCACAGGAACAAGAAGGCAGAUGGCUGCCGGCUGGGGACAGGAGGAAACGGAAGGAGUGGAAUGAGCCAGCCUGUGUCCUGGGUAGCCCAAUUAAAUGGGCACGAAGCAGAGCUCUCGGAGAUGGGACCUAACUACAGCAUUCCUGCACGUGUCACCACCUGCUCAACAGAUUCCAAGCCCCACACGCCUGCUGUGUCAGCCCGGGAGUGUGUGCCCCACAGCCAUGCCAGGCUGUUCUGGAGAAGUAACACACCUCGAGUACAGAGCUGUGCAAGAAGGGCUGAGCACCAAGAUAGAGUUAGAGCUCUCACUGAGGAAGGCUACAACUCUGUCUUCUUAGGAAUGAGAACUUAAAGUCUACCUCCAAAGUCUACCCUGGACCCAAGCCUCUGCACUAAUGAUGCGGUAUGUGCCUCUCACAGCCCUUACUUCACAGUCAGUGUAAUACCAAGGAGACUGUGCCUCUGCCACCCCAUGAGAACAGCUGGGACGGCCUCAGCCACAACAACCAUGGUCCCACAAUGAGACAGAUGGAUCACGUUCAAAAGACAAAGGAACCGCACAGCCUGAAGCAGAGCCACCCACGCAGCCCACAGGUGCACCACAACAAAUACACAGCAAAGCUUCCUGAGGCUCUGCAGUUGACUGACACUGCAGUAUUAUAGCGGUAAUUAGCUGACAAUGUACAUCAAAUACUUAAGCCUGAGUUGAGAACAUGUCUUAGAAAAUGUAGCACUCGAUCUUUCCUCUCUAAUGUCCCAAUUCUCUGGAGACAAGCACGAGGAAAGCAGAGUACACAGAACAAUCUACGCAGGAAUAAUAGAGCACCUAAAGCCACGGGAAUCACCACCAUCUCCACCAAGAGCACCAUGGCCUUCCUACUCUUGGAAUCGCCAUACUAAACCAGUGUGACAGCCCAUGCCUGGCAUACUGGGGCUGGGGGCACUGAAGCCAAAGCAAGAGGUCAUGAGUUCAAGACCAUCCUGGAACUUCAGUGCUAAUAAUCUGCUUACGAAUAAGCAUAUAAAGUACAUAAAUCAUUAACAACAUAAAACAUGAGAGGAGAAAUUAGAGUGUAGGUUUUUUUGUGUAGAUGAAAAUUACAUUUCUGGGGCUUUAAAGAUUCAAAGCAUAGCACUUUAAAAUAUCAUCAAAUCACAAAGUAAGAAGCAAAAGCGUAAGAAUGGUGCAAGGGAUCAGGUAACAUCAAUGUGUCCUCUUAAAUACUUCCUUUAGAAAAGGAUGCUGAAUAAACAAGAAAACAGUGUAAGUACACACACCACCACCAAUAGCUUGUUUAGGGCACACACACACUGCUCUGUUUAGGGCACACACACACUCUCUGUUUAGGGCACACAUAUACUGCAAGCAUGGAGUAGGUAGAAAUUAUCAUUAUCAAUUACUCAUCCAACAGAAGGCAAAUAUCUAGAAUAUAUAAAGAACUAAAACACUAAACAUCAAGAGAACAAAUAAUCCAGUUAAAAAUGAGAACAGAACUAAACAGGGUUCCCAAAGGAUGAAACAAACAUGGCUGAGAAACACAAAGCUGGGCGCAGCAUCCUUAGCCAUCAGGGAAACAGGAAACAGAGCUACUCUGAGAUUCUAUCUUACCUCAGUUAAAAUGACCAACAUAACAAGCGACGGCUCAUGCUGGUGAGGAUGAGGAAAGGGGACAUAGUCAUGGCUGCUGGGCGUGCAAACUGCUCCAGCUGCUAUGGAAACCAGUGUGGAGGGUCCUCAGGAGGUGGGAAUCAGUCUAUCUCAAGAGCCAGCUAUCCCAUCCUUGGGCAUAUCCCCAAGGAUCUACAUGCUACUACAGAGACACUUGCUCAUCCAUGGCCAUGACUGCUAUUUAUAACAGCCAGAAAGUGGAACCAGCCUGAGUGCCUGUCAGCUGAAGAAUGGAUAAUGGAAAUGUACGCUUACACAUGGAAUAUUAUUCAGCUAUUAAAAAAAUUAAAAUAUAAAAUUUUCAGGUAAGUGGAAGGAGCUAAAAAAAAAAUAAUCACAAGUGGGAUAACACACACCCAACAAGACAAAUUCUGUACGUUUUCUUUGUGCUUAUUCUUACUCUUAUCAGAAUGAAAUCAUGUGAUGUCAUUCCCGUACCCAAACUGCCCAUGCUAAGUCUCAGAACCAGAAGCUUACCAAUAUCGCUG